UACAGAGGUCUCAAGCGUUGUUCGGAUUCAUUGGGCGUAAAGGGUGCGUAGGCGGCGCGGUAAGUCGGGUGUGAAAUCUCGGAGCUUAACUCCGAAACUGCAUUCGAUACUGCCGUGCUUGAGGACUGGAGAGGAGACUGGAAUUUACGGUGUAGCGGUGAAAUGCGUUGAUAUCCUAAGGAACACCGGUGGCGAAAGCGGCUCACUGGAUCUCUUCUGACGCUGAGGCACGAAAGCUAGGGUAGCAAACGGG
rnacentral:rRNA from 1 species